AUGGAAAAAUACAGAGAGCUGCUGUUCCCCGAAUACCAGCAGCAUUUCAGAGGCGAGCGACAUAAGCUCAUGACCAGCAAGGCUGUGGUUGUUUCCAGCAGCAUAGUUCUCGGGCCUUUAAGAAGAGGAAAACCAAUAUGCAUUAGAAGGUACAUAAGAAGGUACCUGAAAGACAUUGAUGAAAGAAUAAUCACCAAUUCCCAUAUUACAUGGCCAAAUGCCAGUAGAUUAGAUGACUGCUGUGGUCCCUCAUACCCAUUUUCCAGCAGGGAGCUAUUGCCCAAGCUUGGUCAGAACCCUGCAGUCAGAAACAGGCUAAAAUUCCCUUUCCAGAUCUGGUCCUGUAGCAUCCCAUCAGGGAAAUACUCCCUGAUGCUCCUGAAUACCUUGCCAGCCAAACAGAAAAGUUCCAGUCCCCCAGCAGGCACAGGGGCUCCAGCAGCCGCAGCGUGUCCUUGUCCUCCUUCGGGGGGCUAUAGUGGCAUCCUGGCUGGGUCCAACGGGCUGCUUGCGGGCAACGAGAAGCUCACCAUGCAUAACCUCAACAACUGCCUGGCCUCCUACCUGGACAAGGCUGCCUGGAGGCAGCCAACAGCAAGCUGGAGGUGAAGCUCCGUGACUAGUACCAGAAGCAGGGGCACAGGCCCUCCCACAACUACAGCCACUACUACAGGACCAUCGAGGACCUGCGGGACAAGAUUCUUGGUGCCACCAUUGAGAACUCCAGGAUUGUCCUGCAGAUCAACAACGCUCAUCUGGCUGCAGAUGACUUCUGAACCAAGUUUGGUUUGAGUGUUUGGGUGCUGGACGAGGUGACCCUGGCCAGGACUGAUCUGGAGGUGCAGAUCAAAGGCCUGAAGGAAGAGCGGGCCUACCUGAAGAAGCAGCAUGAGGAGGAAAUCAAUGCCCUGAGGGGCCAAGUGGGAGACCAGGUCCAUGUGAGGGUGGAUUCAGCUCGGACCUGCCAAGAUCCUGAGUGAGAGGCAAAGCCAAUAUGAGAUCAUGGCCAAGCGGAACUGGAAGGAUGCUGAAGCCUGGUUCACCAGCUGGACUGAGGAACUGAACUGGGAGGUCACUGGCUACAUAGAGCAGCUCCAGAUAAGCAGGUCCGAGGCCACUGACCUGCGGUGUACCCUCCAGGGUCUUGAGAUUGAGCUGCAGUCGCAGCUCAGCAUGAAAGCUCCCUUAGAAGGCACACUGGCAGAAACAGAGGCAUGCUUUGGAGCCCAGCUGGUGCAGAUCCAGGCACUGAUUAGCAGUACUGAAGCCCAGCUGGGCGAUGUGCGAGCUGAUAGUGAGUGGCAGAAUCAGGAGUACCAGCGGCUCCUGGAGCAGGAGAUCGCCACCUAUCGCAGCCUGCUUGAGGGCCAGGAAGAUCACUACAACAACCUGUCCAUCUCCAAGGUCCUCUGA